CCUACGGGAGGCAGCAGUGGGGGAUAUUGGGCAAUGGGCGCAAGCCUGACCCAGCGACGCCGCGUGAGUGAAGAAGGCUUUCGGGUUGUAAACUUCUUUUGUCAGGGACGAAACAAGUGACGGUACCUGACGAAUAAGCCACGGCUAACUACGUGCCAGCAGCCGCGGUAAUACGUAGGUGGCAAGCGUUAUCCGGAUUUACUGGGUGUAAAGGGCGUGUAGGCGGGGAAGCAAGUCUGAAGUGAAAGCCACGGGCUCACCCCGUGGACUGCAUUGGAAACUGUGUUACUGGAGUGCAGGAGAGGCAAGCGGAAUUCCGUGUGUAGCGGUGAAAUGCGUAGAUAUACGGAGGAACACCAGUGGCGAAGGCGGAUUGCUGGACAGUAACUGACGCUGAGGCGCGAAAGCGUGGGGAGCAAACAGGAUUAGAUACCCGGGUAGUC
rnacentral:rRNA from 1 species